CCUACGGGAGGCAGCAGUGGGGAAUCUUCCGCAAUGGGCGAAAGCCUGACGGAGCAACGCCGCGUGAUCGAAUGAAGGCCUUCGGGUUGUACAGAUCUGUUGACAGGGACGAAUAAGCAAUGCGAAUAGUUUUGUGUAUGACGGUACCUGUUUAGAAAGCUCCGGCUAACUACGUGCCAGCAGCCGCGGUAAUACGUAGGGAGCGAUCGUUGUCCGGAAUUACUGGGUGUAAAGGGAGCGUAGGCGGGGAUGCAAGUUGGGUGUUAAAUCUACCGGCUCAACUGGUAGUCGUAAUCAAAACUGCAGGUCUUGAGUGAAGUAGAGGCAGGCGGAAUUCGUAGUGUAGCGGUGAAAUGCGUAGAUAUUAGGAGGAACACCAGUGGCGAAGGCAGCCUGCUGGGCUUUUACUGACGCUGAGGCUCGAAAGUGUGGGGAGCAAACAGGAUUAGAUACCCGAGUAGUC
rnacentral:rRNA from 1 species